AUCCAGCUGACGAGUCCCAAAUAGGACGAAGCGCCCGUCCUGGAU
rfam:Schistosoma mattheei strain Denwood, Zambia genome assembly, scaffold: SMTD_scaffold0000021